rnacentral:rRNA from 1 species
UACGUAGGGGGCAAGCGUUGUCCGGAUUUAUUGGGCGUAAAGAGCGUGUAGGCGGUUCGGUAGGUCCGUUGUGAAAACUCGAGGCUCAACCUCGAGACGCCGAUGGAAACCCUCGAACUAGAGUCCGGAAGAGGAGAAUGGAAUUCCUGGUGUAGCGGUGAAAUGCGCAGAUAUCAGGAAGAACACCCGUGGCUAAGGCGGUUCUCUAGUACGGUACUGACACUGAGAGACGAAAGCUAGGGGAGCAAAUGGG